GCGGGAGCAACACCAGACUGGGGGACUUGAUGGGGUAUGCUAUUUGACCCGACCCGAACGAUCGGACAUAUCCGUUACUUAUCGCCUUUUAUUAUAAUAUUUAUCAUUAUUGUGUACUAACCCGCGAAGCCUGGCGCGUUGUAGUUUACACUACACUAGGUUGUGGGCUUGUAGAGACAACCCCUAACUGGGCCUGGCCCAUUGAGGUUAGGGCUGCCCAUAUCUCCUAUAUAAGGAGGUCUUCACCUCAUUAUUAGGGCAAGAGAUAUGGAGCAAACACAUUUUUUGUAGCUGGAAAAAGGGAAUUCUUUCCCUACCGGCCGUCUCUACAUCCCCACUUUUCUCUCUUUUUCUUUGCAGAUCUGGAUUCGAAGAGAAGGAGCAAGUGAUCGAACAAUCGUCUGCUUGGAUUUGACCGUUCAAAACCCUAAUCGUCGGCCAGGUGUGGAACAGGGGGCACUUUAAAUGAUCGCUGUACUACGCAAGAGUGCUUUAUGCCAUUCUCGCAAAAAUUGGUUUAGAAAAUGAUCAACAUAUUUUUCAAGAAAAUAUCUGGUCACCGUUUCACUUUACCGACUUAUUUACAUGUCUGAACUUGACCUCCAGAUUCCUUCUGCUUAUGUCCCAUUUGCUGAAUGCUGAGGAUUCUGGUGCCGGGUCAAAAGACUACGUUCAUAUUCGCAUUCAGCAACGAAAUGGUAGGAAAAGCUUGAUAGCUGUGCAGGGUUUAUAGAAAGAAUUUAGUUAUAAUAAGAUUUUGAAGGACCUCAAGAAGGAGUUCUGCUGCAAUGGCACUGUUGUUCAGGAAACUGAACUAGGCCAGGUCAUCCAGCUUCAAGGUGAUCAGAGAAAGAACGUCUCUACCUUUCUUACCCAGGCUGGCAUAGCGAAGAAGGAUCAUAUCAAGAUUCAUGGUUUCUAAUCUAAGCACACAAUGUAUGCAAGUUUAGUGGUUAUACGUUUGUUUGUGAUAACUUCUGUUUGAUACCUUUAUUAGUUCUAGUACCAAUGGCAGGAUUAUGAAAAUGUGUUUUCUUAUCGGUAAAAAAAAUAUCUUUAUUU
rnacentral:lncRNA from 1 species